GGCUGCUCCCAUCCCCAGUGUCCCGCCUGGCCUUGGACACUGCCAGGGAUCCAGGGGCAGCCGCGGCUUCUCUGGGCACCCUGUGCCAGGGCCUGCCCACCGUCCAGUCCUCAGCACCAGGGUAAGGGCUGCAAGGUGUACCCGGCUCUCACUGUCAGGGGUUCAUUCCAGGAUCCUUCCCAUGGUUCCCAGGGAAAACAAUAACUGAAGUCAGAGGAGGAGAUGCGCGAAACGGAGGUUUUCUUCUAAGGUCUGUUUGAACUUGAUUGUUUUCACUGUUUCUGUUUGAACUUGAUUGUUUUCAUCACUGGAUGAAUCUGAAAAGAAGUGGAAGCAAGGCAUGGGAAGCCUUAAAAAGGAGAAAGAGCUUCCUGGAGUUUUUAAGUGUGGUGCAGAAAAAGGAAUUCAUCAAAUCCCAUCAGCUUCUCCAUAUAAAUGUCACAAAAAGAUUUGGAAGUUGUGCUCCUGCAGCAGGGAUGUGAAAUGAUGCAAAAGGCAAAGAAAGGUACAUUCCAGCUGAAAAUAAGGACCGUGUCCUAACGGAGGGGGUGCUCAGCCACCAGAACAAGCUGCCAAGAGCAGCACUAUCUUUGUAUCGGGGGAAAUCGAGAGGAGCCUUUGUGAGAAAGAUGCUUUCACAGAGAGAGGAGUGAUCUGCUUCCAUAAAACCAUAAGUCAC